AGAAUCAACGCUGGCGGCGUGCCUAACACAUGCAAGUCGCACGAGAAAGGGGAGCAAUCCCUGAGUAAAGUGGCGCACGGGUGAGUAACACGUGAAUCAUCUACCUCCGAGUGGGGAAUAACCUAGAGAAAUCUGGGCUAAUACCGCAUAACACUUACGAGUCAAAGCAGCAAUGCGCUUGGAGAGGAGUUCGCGGCCGAUUAGCUAGUUGGCGGGGUAAUGGCCCACCAAGGCGAUGAUCGGUAUCCGGCCUGAGAGGGCGCACGGACACACUGGAACUGAAACACGGUCCAGACUCCUACGGAGGCAGCAGUGGGGAAUUUUGCGCAAUGGGGGAAACCCUGACGCAGCAACGCCGCGUGGAGGAUGAAAUAUCUUGGUAUGUAAACUCCUUUCGAUGGGGAAGAUUAUGACGGUACCCAUAGAAGAAGCCCCGGCUAACUUCGUGCCAGCAGCCGC
rnacentral:rRNA from 1 species